rnacentral:rRNA from 1 species
UACGUAGGGGGCAAGCGUUGUCCGGAAUCAUUGGGCGUAAAGAGCGCGUAGGCGGUCCGGUAAGUCCGCUCUGAAAAUCCGGGGCUCAACCCCGGACUUGCAGUGGGUACGGGCAGACUAGAGUGUGGUAGGGGAGACUGGAAUUCCUGGUGUAGCGGUGAAAUGCGCAGAUAUCGGGAGGAACACCAGUAGCGAAGGCGGCACUCUGGGCCGGUACUGACGCUGAGGAGCGAAAGCGUGGGGAGCGAACAGG